AAAGUGAGAAGCCUGACCUAAAUGCAGUCAUUUUCUUCUCUCUGCUUCCAUUCGUUUAUGUCUCUUCUCCCUUGCCUGCCCCCUGCCACUGUUCCUGGUAGCCUUUCCCUGUGGCUUCUUAAGGAGACAGGAGCAAGCAUGUAUUUGCCAGGGUGCUUGCCGAUUUUAUUAAGCAAGCUUUCCAUUCAAGUUUGGGGCGGGGUGGUAUUGAAAGGUGUCAGACAGGAAAACAGAUGCUCUGGUGGACAGUCAUUAAUUCCCCAAUUCUCAUUCAUGUUACUAUUCUAGGGAGACAGAGUGGGGGCCUAACGUCUAGUGGAGGAGAGAGACGUGAAUAAAUGUUGACUGUAAAUGGAGUCUGUAAAUUUCUACAAGUUGCUUCCUUGAUUUGUGCAGACUGUUCAUGGAUGAGAAUGCUGAAGGGAAUGGGGAGGCUGGUGCACACCCAACCGAAGCUGCAGGGCCCUUGCACUGCCCAGCCUAGAGGGCCUGGUUCUUGCUUAUUUGUUUUCUCUACUUGUUUAUUUUUCUCUGUACAUUUUCUGACUCAGUAAUGUGAGAGUAUUUGCAGAAAUGUAAAUCCUCAAAUCUUUCUCAGCAAGUUGAAUGUCUUUAUUACACAACCCACUUUAAAGUAGUCUUGUUUAUACAUUUAUUGGAAAUGAUCAAUAGUUAAACAGAUCCUAUAAGCAAUUAUAAGUAUAGUUUUACAAUUUAUUAAAUUAUUUCUUUAGCCCAACCACAGACCUGAAUACCGUGAUUAAGUUAUCUUGUUUAAGCCUUAAAAUAAUCCUAAGUAGUACGUACUCUUAUCAUCCCUAUGUGCUUAUAAACUCAAAAACUGUGGUAACUUGCCAAUACACACUGGAGCUGAGAUUAAACCAUGUCUGUGCAACUCUAAGCCCUGGAUCUCUGCAACUAUGCUAUAUAGGGAAUUUCAGAUCUGGAAGGACACUAGAUCCCAUUCUCUCCAACUUCUUCAUUGGACAGAUGGGAGAAGGGUGGCACACACAGCUAGUAGAGGACAAGCCAAGCUCAGAAACCAGAUUUCUUGCUGCCCAGUCCAAUGUUCUGACUAUAGUGCACUGCCAAAGGAAAAUUCUGUGAAGUUAG
rnacentral:lncRNA from 1 species